rnacentral:rRNA from 1 species
CGGGGUGAGUAACGCGUGGGGAACCUGCCCUAUACAGGGGGAUAACAGCUGGAAACGGCUGCUAAUACCGCAUAAGCGCACAGAAUCGCAUGAUUCGGUGUGAAAAGCUCCGGCAGUAUAGGAUGGUCCCGCGUCUGAUUAGCUGGUUGGCGGGGUAACGGCCCACCAAGGCGACGAUCAGUAGCCGGCUUGAGAGAGUGGACGGCCACAUUGGGACUGAGACACGGCCCAA